rnacentral:rRNA from 1 species
GACGAACGCUGGCGGCGUGCUUAACACAUGCAAGUCGAACGGUAAGGCCCUUCGGGGUACACGAGUGGCGAACGGGUGAGUAACACGUGGGUGAUCUGCCCUGCACUUCGGGAUAAGCCUGGGAAACUGGGUCUAAUACCGGAUAGGACUCCGGACUGCAUGGUCUGGGGUGGAAAGCUUUUGCGGUGUGGGAUGGGCCCGCGGCCUAUCAGCUUGUUGGUGGGGUGAUGGCCUACCAAGGCGACGACGGGUAGCCGGCCUGAGAGGGUGACCGGCCACACUGGGACUGAGAUACGGCCCAGACUCCUACGGGAGGCAGCAGUGGGGAAUAUUGCACAAUGGGCGCAAGCCUGAUGCAGCGACGCCGCGUGAGGGAUGACGGCCUUCGGGUUGUAAACCUCUUUCAGCAUCGACGAAGCGAAAGUGACGGUAGGUGCAGAAGAAGGACCGGCCAGCUACGUGCCAGCAGCCGCGGUAA